UCUGUGGCGUUGUACAACUAAGGGGGUUGUGAGUGCAGUGUCGUUUCAUGGCUCGUCGAUCAUGUGAUCGAGACUUGACGAAAAAGCGGGGGCAACUGGUCUAAGGGGUCGAAGGGGAUGACUGCUCCACCUAUAGUAAACAGUUUUAAGGUGUCGUAGAAUAAUGUAGCAGUUUAUCAAAAACGGGCUAUGCAUCAGAUAUAGGACAUAACUACAACAGUAGCAAAAUUCUAGUGCAAGCAUGAGGGAGAAAGAAAUACGCGGUAUAGCCAUGAUCAAGGGGAAUUUGCUUGCAUUGUUGC
rnacentral:lncRNA from 1 species